GUAGGGGGCAAGCGUUGUCCGGAUUUAUUGGGCGUAAAGAGCGUGUAGGCGGCCACACAGGUCUGCUGUGAAAACUCGAGGCUCAACCUCGAGCUGUCGGUGGAAACCGUGUGGCUAGAGUCCGGAAGAGGAGAGUGGAAUUCCCGGUGUAGCGGUGAAAUGCGCAGAUAUCGGGAAGAACACCCGUGGCGAAGGCGGCUCUCUGGGACGGUACUGACGCUGAGACGCGAAAGCGUGGGGAGCGAACAGGAUUAGAUACCCUGGUAGUCCACGCCGUAAACGAUGGGUGCUAGGUGUGGGGGGUGUCGACUCCCUCCGUGCCGAAGCUAACGCAUUAAGCACCCCGCCUGGGGAGUACGGCCGCAAGG
rnacentral:rRNA from 1 species